rnacentral:sRNA from 1 species
CCUUUUAAAAUUCAUGCUGCAUAAAGGGUAGGGUGGCCUUUCUCCUUUUCCGGGCCAUUUUGGUUAAAAAGAUAAAGAUAUUCGAAGUAAUUACUCAGAGCGCAGGGGCCGGGGCUUGGCUUUACUGUUGUAGGUGAUAACCUUGUCAACUGCUUAUUAGUGAAUGCUGAGCAAGUUUCCCAAAGUUUGUAUUUUUAAAAAUAGAAAACCGUGAGGACAUACUGAAUGCCGGCGACAAAUUAACAGAGGUCCUUGAAGAGGCUAACACUCUGUUUAAUGAAGUGUCCCGAGCAAGAGAAGCAGUCCUGGAUGCCCACUUUCUUGUUUUGGCUUCAGAUUUGGGCAAAGAGAAAGCAAAGCAGCUGCGCUCAGACCUGAGCUCCUUUGACAUGUUAAGAUAUGUUGAAACUCUACUCACACAUAUGGGUGUAAAUCCGCUAGAAGCUGAAGAACUCAUCCGUGAUGAAGAUAGUCCUGAUUUUGAAUUCAUAGUCUAUGACUCCUGGAAAAUAUCAGGCAAAACAGCAGAAAACACCUUUAAUAAAACCCAUACAUUCCACUUUCUGUUGGGUUCAAUAUACGGAGAGUGCCCUGUGCCAAAGCCACGAGUUGAUCGUCCAAGAAAAGUUCCUGUGAUACAAGAGGAGAGGGCAAUGCCUGCCCAGUUAAGAAGAAUGGAAGAAUCUCAUCAAGAAGCAACAGAGAAAGAAGUAGAAAGAAUCUUGGGAUUGUUGCAGACAUAUUUUCGAGAAGAUCCUGAUACCCCAAUGUCCUUCUUUGACUUUGUGGUUGAUCCUCAUUCUUUCCCCCGUACAGUGGAAAACAUCUUUCAUGUUUCCUUCAUUAUACGGGAUGGUUUUGCAAGAAUAAGACUUGACCAAGACCGACUGCCAAUAAUAGAGCCUGUUAGUAUUAAUGAAGAAAAUGAGGGAUUUGAACAUAACACACAAGUUAGAAAUCAAGGAAUUAUAGCUUUGAGUUACCGUGACUGGGAGGAGAUUGUGAAGACCUUUGAGAUUUCAGAGCCUGUGAUUACUCCAA